UUUUCCUACGGGGGGCAGCAGUGAGGAAUAUUGGUCAAUGGGCGAAAGCCUGAACCAGCCAUGCCGCGUGCAGGAAGACGGCUCUAUGAGUUGUAAACUGCUUUUGUACGAGGGUAAACACAGAUACGUGUAUCUGCUUGAAAGUAUCGUACGAAUAAGGAUCGGCUAACUCCGUGCCAGCAGCCGCGGUAAUACGGAGGAUCCAGGCGUUAUCCGGAUUUAUUGGGUUUAAAGGGUGCGUAGGCGGUUUAGUAAGUCAGCGGUGAAAUUUUGGUGCUC
rnacentral:rRNA from 1 species